rnacentral:rRNA from 1 species
UGGGGAAUAUUGGGCAAUGGGCGAAAGCCUGACCCAGCAACGCCGCGUGAAGUAUGAAGGCCUUCGGGUUGUAAACUUCUUUGAUCAGGGAAGAAACAAAUGACGGUACCUGAAAAACAAGCCACGGCAAACUACGUGCCAGCAGCCGCGGUAAUACGUAGGUGGCGAGCGUUAUCCGGAUUUACUGGGUGUAAAGGGCGUGCAGGCGGGCUGAUAAGUCAGAUGUGAAAUCCCCGAGCUUAACUCGGGAACUGCAUCUGAUACUGUUGGUCUUGAGUGCUGGAGAGGAUAGUGGAAUUCCUAGUGUAGCGGUAAAAUGCGCAGAUAUUAGGAGGAACACCAGUGGCGAAGGCGGCUAUCUGGACAGUAACUGACGCUGAGGCGCGAAAGCGUGGGUAGCAAACAGG